UUUAAAUGUAAAAAAAAAUAUCAAAUUAGUAAUAGUUAAGUUCUUUAAAUUUAAAAAUUUUGGCGGUAUUUUAGUCUAUUCAGAGGAACCUGUUCUAUAAUUGAUAAUCCACGAUUAACUAAACUUAUUUUUUUAAUUUGUAUAUCGUCGUUUAUAAAUAAUUUUAUAAGAAUAUAAAUUUUUAAGAUUUUUAAUUAGAAAAUAUAUCAGAUCAAGGUGCAGUUUAUAAAUAAGAAGAAAUGGGUUACAAUAAAUUUAUUUAAAUGGAUUAAUUUUUUAAAAAGAAUUAUGAAGGUGGAUUUGAUAGUAAUUAAAUUAAUUUUAAUUUAAUGAUUUUAGCUCUAAAAUAUGU
rnacentral:rRNA from 1 species